AAUUAGAUAAUGGUACACACACGUUAAAAACUAACCUGCAAGAUCAAUUCAAACCCCACGAAUUGAUGAAACCGCUCCUUUAUGAAAACUGUUUUUUUCCACUUUUCACAUCUCUUUCUGUUCCAAAAAUAUGUACAACAACAACAAAAAUAACUCCGCUGACCACCACAAGUUAUUUUCUUCAAUGAAUAGUCCUAGAAUCUCUUUCUCUAAUGACUUCAUCGAUUCAUCUCAACAACAACAACAUCAUCAACAUAUGAUGAAGAAUGAUACAACAUCGUAUUACAUAGAUGCUCCUGUUUCUUCUGACUUUGAAUUCUCCGUCGCUAAUCAUUCUAUGAUUACUGGUGCUGACGAGCUUUUCUCUAAAGUUGUUGGAGGUAAUUAAAGAGAGUAUCAAGGAACAAGAAGAUUCGGUUCUCGCACAAGAAAUAAUGGGGAUGCAAUUCAAUAUCCUUCAAGAGAUGAUAGGACACACACAGUUGGUGCUAUCAGAUUUUUCUCUUAAUAUUUUGUCUUCAGAGGGCGAGAGAGAAGAAAGUCCCUUUUUAAAAGAUUUCUCAUUAUUGUGGAGCGUACUUGAUUCAAUUAAACAAUUCCUCCAGCAAAUACGGCUUAAAAAUAUUAUUAAAAUUAAAAAAAAAAUAUUUUCUUCUAGCGGUGCUUGAUGUACACUGCAGGUAAUGUUGGGCGAAGUGAAAUGGGCUUCCUAAAACUGCUUGGCCAUAGUGUUAACUGCUAAUGGUUCCUUGAAUUGUUCAUUCAGGAAGUUCUGCAAGACAUAUUUAUGGUUGUUGCUUGCUGUUAUCAAUUCAAAGGAAAGGAAUAAUUGGAUGCUCACUGCCCGGAUAGCAACAUUCGAAAUAUUGAGAAAAUAAUCCUUGCGUUUCUUUAUAACUCCUCCUGAAUAUCUGAUUCAUGUUUUUUUCCCCAAAGGAUCUAAUCAAUUGUUCUUCUCUCGAGUAGUUAUUGUUUUCCUCUAAAUUCA